ACCAUGCAGUGAGCGAGCGAGCAGCGAUCUCUCUCUUUACCCUGCUAGUGUCCUUGCCCGCUCAACCCAGCCUGACAGCCUCAGCGCCUCACAUGGCCCUCUGGCUCAUACAUAUGUAGGAGGAUAGGGAGAGGAGAGGAAUAACAACCACAGAAAGUGUGUGUGUGUACCAUAUAUUUUUCUUCCUGAAUAUGUGACAGGCAGCCCACAUGCGUACACACAACAAUGUGCACACACGUCGUGUGGCUCGAAACACCAAUAUAUCCUCCUUACUUCCUUAAGCUCUUCCCUCAGUUCUUCUUCCUGAUAAUAGGUGUGCCUGUCUUACCAAGGGACCCCACAUCAGGAAGAACAACCCAGAGCCUUGGAACACAUACGUUCCAGACGAUCAGUACAAGUUGGUGGCCGUCAAUAUGGACUACAAGGCUCUGAAGAAGGAGGGCCCUGACUUCUAAAGGUCCUUCAGGCAACUCCAGGAGCACCAAGUUUGGCAGGACCUCCUGUCAUCCUAGUGGCAGGGUCGGGGCAGCCUGAGCCUCGGUCGGGUCCUCUGUCUGUCCCCUCUGCUGUCUCUUCAGAAUGCACAACAUUUCAUUAUGACUGUCUUUUCGUGCACUAACCUACAGUUAUAGAAGCAAUUGUCUCCAUGUGCACCAAAAAAUACUGUUAUUAUAACCUACCUGUCUCUUCAGACACCACACUACAGUGCAAAUCUCUUCAUGUAUAAAAACCCUAUAGAGAUGUAAUGUAACAGGCUCACUUUCACAAACCCUACAGUUAUUAGAACCUGUCUCUUCACAACCCACAACAGCACACUCAUAUAUCAGUCUCUUUUUUAUUUUCAGCAACAACAACCCUUACAGUGAUGUAUCCUUCUUCAUGCCUCAACCCUGAUGUUACAUAACUGUCUC